rnacentral:rRNA from 1 species
UACCAGCACCCCGAGUGGUCGGGACGUUUAUUGGGCCUAAAGCAUCCGUAGCCGGUUCUACAAGUCUUCCGUUAAAUCCAACUCGCUUAACAGGUGGCUGGCGGAAGAUGGACUAUAGAGGCUAGGAGGCGGGAGAGGCAAGCGGUACUUCGAUGGGUAGGGGUAAAAUCCGUUGAUCCAUAGAAGACCACCAGUGGCGAAGGCGGCUUGCCAGAACGCGCUCGACGGUGAGGGAUGAAAGCUGGGGGAGCAAACCGGG